rnacentral:rRNA from 1 species
AACAAACGCUGGCGGCGUGCCUAAUACAUGCAAGUCGAACGGGGAAAGUUUUCGGAUGAGUACUAGUGGCGCACGGGUGAGGAACACGUAGAUAAUCUGCCCCUAGGCGGGGAAUAACUGGUCGAAAGAUCAGCUAAUACCGCAUAAGACCACGUCUUCUGAGGAAGAUGAGGUUAAAGGCUUCGGCCACCUAGGGAUGAGUCUGCGUCCGAUUAGCCAGUUGGUGAGGUAAAAGCUCACCAAGGCGACGAUCGGUAACUGGUCUGAGAGGAUGACCAGUCACACUGCGACUGGGACACGGCCCAGACUACUACGGGAGGCAGCAGUAGGGAAUAUGUCACAAUGGAGGAAACUCUGAUGCAGCGACGCCGCGUGAGUGAUGAAGGCCCUCGGGUGGUAAAGCUCUGUUCUUAGGGAAUAAAAAAAUGAAGGUACCUAAGGAGAAAGGACCGGCUAACUUCGUGCCAGCAGCCGCGGUAA